rnacentral:rRNA from 1 species
AUUGAACGCUGGCGGCAGGCCUAACACAUGCAAGUCGAGCGAGCGGCGGACGGGUGAGUAAUGUAUGGGGACUGCCCGAUCUAGGGGGAUAACUACUGGAAACGGUGGCUAAUACCGCAUCCUAUCCUAUAACCCAUAUGGGAUUAUCUAGUAGGGGGGGUAAAGGCUCACCUAGGCGACGAUCUAUAGCUGGUCUGAGAGGAUGAUGAGCCACACGGGGAAUGGGACACGGACCAGACUCCUACGGAGGCAGCAGUGGGGAAUAUUGCACAAGGGGCGCAAGCCUGAUGCAGCCAUGCGGCGUGUAUGAAGAAGGCCUUAGGGGUGUAAAGUACUUUCAGCGGGGAGGCGUUACCCGAAGAAGAAGCACCGGCUAACUCCGUGCCAGCAGCCGCGGUAAUAC